UCCUCGAUAGCUCAACGGCAGAGCAGGCGGCUGUUAACCGCAAGGUUGAAGGUUCGAAUCCUUCUCGAGGAGCCA
rnacentral:tRNA from 1 species